AAAAUAUGAUAAAGAUGGAUAUGCAAGAAUUGGAAUAAUGCCUCAUUAUGGUGAUGCUAAUUCCAUUAAAUGGUUUGAAAUUGAACCAUGUUGUGUAUUUCACAUAAUAAAUUGUUUUGAAGAUAAUGAUGAGCAAAGAAUUUAUCAGGAGGAUUUGCUAAAUUUGGAGGGCUAGCCAAAUUUCAUUUUGAAGAAAGACAUGUUGAAAAUUCUAAGGAUAAUAAAGAAGAAGAAGAUUUGAUUAAGGUUGAAUAUCACAUUUUCCCAAAAAACACAUUUUGUAGUGGAGCUACAUUUGUUCCAAAGCUUGAUGGUGUUGAUGAAGAUGAUGGUUGGAUUGUGGCAUUCACACAUAAUGAAAAUACAAAUCAAUCACAAGUUUAUAUAAUUGAUGCAAAAAAAUUUGAAAGUGAGGUCGUUGCCAUAAUCAUAUUACCAAGUAGAGUGCCAUAUGGAUUUCAUGGGGCAUUUAUGUCCUUCAAUUAAUUAUAGAUACCCUACUAAAAAAUGUUAAAAUCCGAAAAAAAAAAUCGACGGACUAUAGUUUAUAACCAAUAAAAUCCAUCGAUCCGUUGGUUUUGGCCUUCGUUUUUCGACCUGUUUUUUUUUAGUGAUAGUAUAGUAUUCAAUAUCUUGUGCUUAUUGCCUUAUUGAAUUGUUUCGUAUAUUUGCGGUCUCCAAUAAAUACAUGCAUGAAUAAAAUAUAAUAUAUGCCAAUAAA